GGUUGUGGAUUGCAAAUAUGUCUGUUUCAGGAAGACUUUAGUUCAUCAAGAUCUAUAACCACAAAAUUUUGUGCCCAAACCAUCUAAUUAAUUUGACUCACAUAUGAUAGUCAGCUAAAGCAAACCAUUAUAAACUUUCACAAAGCAGUGUUGUUCAUUGCCCAUGAGGACAAUUGAAAUUACUCCAUUCAACAACAAUAAAGCACACACACUGUAUCACUGAUGACAAAUGACACAAGUGCAUCUCACAAAAAUCACAUAAAGCAGAUUGCAUGUGCACAAACACAAACAUAGAUAUCCAAAAAUCUUCACACAGCA
rnacentral:misc_RNA from 1 species